rnacentral:rRNA from 2 species
UUUUAAUUGAAGGCUUGUAUGAAGGGUUGGACAAAGAAUAAGCUGUCUUUAUUUUUAUUUUUGAAUUUGUCUUUUAGGUGAAAAGACUUAAAUGUAUUUAAGGGACGAUAAGACCCUAUAAAGUUUUAUAUUGGGUAUUUGUAUUUUAGAUUUUAAUGUUUAUGUAAAUAGGGGUAUAGAAUAUUAUAUUGGGGUGAUAAGAAUAACUAAUAAACUGUUCUAAGAUAAAACAAAUUUGUUUGGAUGAUAAUAGAUCCUUUAUAAAGAUUAAAAGUUUAAGUUACUUUAGGGAUAACAGCGUUAUUUUCUUUGAGAGUUCAAAUCGAAAAGAAAGUUUGCGACCUCGAUGUUGAAUUAAAAUUUCUUUAUGGUGCAGUAGCUAUAAGAGAAAGUCUGUUCGACUUUUAAAUUUUUACGUGAUCU